rnacentral:tmRNA from 1 species
GGGGGUGUAAAGGCUUCGACGUACUGGCUAAAUGAACGGCCGCAUGCCGCGAGGGUAAGCCGCCCGCGUUAACGGGGCUUACAAAACACAAAUGCAACACCUUACGUUGCUGAACCUGAAUACGCGUUAAGCUAAUCAGGGCACUGAUAUUCUUUACCUCAAGGGGUAUUAGUGUUUAAACUAAGAGGUUAGGAUCCGGUUCUUUUGCUUUGAGAGCCUGGUCUGAAAACAAGAAAGCUGCUGCUCGGAGGAUCUGGCCCUUUAGAGCCUUGGGGCUUAAGCUAAACAGAGGGAUAAGCAUGUAGUGGCUUUUCGUUGAACCUUUACGGACGCGGGUUCGAUUCCCGCCACCUCCAGUU